rnacentral:rRNA from 1 species
UACGUAGGUGGCAAGCGUUGCUCGGAAUUACUGGGCGUAAAGCGUACGCAGGCUGUCCGUUAAGUCGGGUGUGAAAGCCCGGGGCUCAACCCCGGAAUUGCGCCCGAAACUGACGGGCUUGAGUGCGGGAGAGGGAAGCGGAAUUCCUGGUGUAGAGGUGAAAUUCGUAGAUAUCAGGAGGAACACCGGUGGCGAAAGCGGCUUCCUGGCCCGACACUGACGCUCAUGUACGAAAGCGUGGGGAGCAAACAGG